CAUCCCGGAAGAUAUACAAGUUUUAAUAGUUAAUAUUAAUAAAAAGUUUAUAUUAGUUUAAUAAAGGAAACUCACUCAACCAAAAAUGGAUUAAAUGAAUGGAGGGGCCGGCAAAAAGUCCCCGCCGCCAAAGGGGAGCAAAAACUUGACCAGGCCAACGAUGGAUGGAGAAUUAUUAUGCAGCAGCAAUUACUCGCCAAUUGUCGUCGCAAUGAGAUAGAGAGCGAAUGGCCAGCGUAGUGGGAAUGAAAAUGGGAAUGAGAACGGGAACGAAAGGAGAAAAAGCUGUUCGAAAAGGCGAUAAUCCAGUCGGGAAGGAGCGCAAAAGAAGUCGAUGGAGACCGGCGUUCAAGUGAGGAUCGCAAUGAUCAAACGAAUAAAAAAGCACAAUUUUUCCUCUGUGCACCUUCUUGGAUCUUGGCCAUCUCAACGGUUUUGGCCCCGUCUGGUUAUGACCAAAUGGAGAGGAUCAGCAGUCGCCCCCUGUGAUUAUUUUUAUUAUAAUUGCACGUUUAUUGGCGUGAGGAAAUGUUGUUGCCACUCCAAUCCGUGGGGACACCACACACACCAAAAUGCCGCACAUCGACACGGACUGUUGGCGAGUACAUCAAAUUUCAUAAUCAAAAAGUGCUUCAAAGCCAAACCAUUUCGUACAUUUCUCGGUCUUUCUCCAUUGCAGCCACCAACUGCUAACUGCUAACUGCUAAUGACGACGACACCUUGGACAACGAGCCUAUAUGCAGCAGCUCCUCCAGAUCUCUGGACACUGGACAAUCCGAAAACAUCCCACUAAUUUUUCCAUAUAUGUCCAAAGUGGUACACAAACGGCAAAAGGCAAACGGCAAAGCGGCUUUGAUUUGUGCAAGGCAAACUUGGCGCUUGUUGUACAGCAUUUUUGCGUCUCUUAAAUGCUGCAUUUUCUUCUGGAUUCGUUCAGUUUUAGUUUAUAGAGUCUAUGUAUAUAUAGUAUGCCUUGGGGUAAUAUAAAAGUCAAAGCAUUAAGCCGACAAGAAGCGUUGAAAUUUUAUUUAAUAAUUUAGAAAUAUUUUGGAAAAUAGCAAAUAAUAUUUAAAAAUGUUGAGGGAGUUGGAAAAGUUUA